rnacentral:rRNA from 1 species
GGAUGAAUAUUGCACAAUGGGCGAAAGCCUGAUGCAGCGACGCCGCGUGGAGGAUGAAGGUUUUCGGAUUGUAAACUCCUGUUAAGUGUGAAAAAAGACUUGUUUUUAAUAGAAACGAGGGAUGAUGGUAACACUAGAGAAAGCACCGGCUAACUUCGUGCCAGCAGCCGCGGUAAUACGAGGGGUGCAAACGUUAUUCGGAAUCACUGGGCGUAAAGGGUGCGUAGACGGCGAAAUAAGUCAAUCAUUA